GAGAUUAAGCGUCUCAGGACAGCAGGAAAAGCUUUAAACCUUACUGCUAAAUAUUUUCAAACCCUAGGUAUAGCCAAUCUGCAUCAAACGAAAUUCGCAGUGAUUUGAAACGGUCCGAGAAAAAUGCGAGCAGAGGCGAGAAAAACGUGUACAAAAAAUCCAACGGAUGGCCGCAUUGGAAUGUCUUUCCACGCAUAUGGUCCGUGGAUUCAAACACCGAUUCGUGUUUGAAACUAACCUAGCCGUUGAGUGUUCUAGAAUGUUUGAAACGGAAGGAAAAUUCAAAAUUCACAUUUCAAAUUCCAUGGAGCGUGCAAAAGUAUGAUUAUAUAUAACCCUCGACAUUUGUAGACCAGAGGAUGAAGAGGCAAAGCAUAAGAAAAGGCAGGAAAAGGCAGGGAUCAGGAAAUAGAAAUUGAAUGAGGGCAAAAUUCUUCUUGCAGUUGUCAUGGCACUGGCAACAGAUUCAUGGGUGGGUCCAUUUCUAAGAGGCGGCCUUGCUAAGCAUUUCACGACUCCCUCUGAACCUGCUCACAGAAACACAGAGAAACUGCAGUCAUUGAAGUUGAUGUGUUUGGUGAGGUUGAAAUGAAUGAUUACAAAUAGGACCUGGCAUGGGACACAAGAGCCGGUAGGAGUUCAUAGAACCGAUGUAGAGAAGAAGAGAUGGGAAGCUCACAUGUUUGAUCUUAGACAGCCUUCUUGUAUCCCCUUCACUCUAUGGAUUGUUUUUCUGGACUUGUACUUUGCAAGAUUGUCUGCAUCACAUGUGGUUCAGCAAUUCACUGACCUCAUAACACAUACAGCUGCAACGCCCUAUUGGGCUUCUGGGAUACGAUUUUUCUUGGUUUCAGGCCAGCAGAUUUUAUAAAGUAGAGAAUGAAAUAUGUGUAAUACAGAGAAGCUACAAUCAUUGAAGUUUACGAGGUUGACAUGAUCGAUUAAAAUUGAACCUAACCUGGGUGGUAGACAGCAAGCUCACAACAACCCUUCUCUGCAACCUCCUCAAUGAUUGGGUGGCAACAUGUUGCAGCCAAAAAACUGUUGUUUGAUAAGAAGGAUCUUGAGCAGCUUUUUGAAUUAGUCGUUUUCCAUCAUGGUGUAUUAAAAACAGCCAAAGAUGGAAUUAGGCUUGUAUCAUUUCUUUAGUUAUGUUUUGGUCAAGCAUACUGACUUGAUAACAUUGUAACAUGUACAAAUAUAAUGUUUAAUAAAAAAAUUAUUUUGAUUGGAAGGGGUUAAAAACUCCUUCCAAAGACUGAA